CCGCUACAGCAGCAGCAGCGUGGGUAUGAUAGCUACCUCCGGGUCGGACCCAUCGAGCAAUGCCGCUGCUGCUGCUGCCAUGGUUGCCGCUGCGACAGCUGCUGGGCUGGCAUCCAACAACACAAGUGCCUCCUCCACAAGUGGAGCAUCUACAUCCGCAGCGGCGGCAGCAGCGGCGGCUGCAGCAGUGGCAGCUGCAGCCGGUGGAUCGG
rnacentral:sRNA from 1 species